AGCAACNUGUGUGUGUGUAGUUGUAUAUACAGGGUUGGCGUGUGUGUGUGGUGAUGUAUACAGGGUCAGUGUAUGUGUGUGGUUGCAUAUACAGGAUCAGUGUGUGUGUGUAGUUGUAUAUACAGGGUUGGUGUGUGUGUAGUGAUGUAUACAGGGUUGGUGUGUGUUUGUAGUUGUGUUUACAGGAUCAGUGUGUGUGUGGUUGUGCAGUGAUGGAUGUUCAGUGUGAUUAAUUAAAUGCUAUAUCUAUGCUGUAGAUGAGACAGGCUGAAUGAUGGCGACAGACGGAACGGUGGAGGACAGUGAGGACGGGCCUGGCUGCUUUGAGAACAGCUUAGAAAUAAAACGGCCAAACCUCUGUGCUAAAGAGAGCGCUGGAUUUGAGGAGAACACUAAAGUAAAACAUCCAGACUCUUCUGCUGAUAAGAGGAAUCAGGAGGGUGAAGACUGCUGUGAGGAAAACGUGCACCUGAGUGUGGUGGAGAAGCUUCUCUUGCUGCUCAGAGGGAAGCUCAGCGGAUUAAAAGAGUCUAAAAUACAGGACAACAAGCUAUCUGACUGAUUUGCUGCUCUGCAAAGUGUUUAAAUACAGAAGAUAUUACAAAUCUUGUAAUGGAUGAGAACUGGUAGAGUCGUGUUAAAGAGAGAUGGGAGGUGAAAUAAUAAAUAAUAACGGGACUGUCCA
rnacentral:lncRNA from 1 species